rnacentral:rRNA from 1 species
AGAGUUUGAUCCUGGCUCAGGAUGAACGCUAGCGAUAGGCUUAACACAUGCAAGUCGAGGGGCAGCAUGGUCUUAGCUUGCUAAGACUGAUGGCGACCGGCGCACGGGUGCGUAACGCGUAUGCAACUUGCCUCACAGAGGGGGAUAACCCGUCGAAAGACGGACUAAUACCGCGUACACUUACAGUAGGGCAUCCUUCAGUAAGGAAAAGAAAUUCGCUGUGAGAUAGGCAUGCGUCCCAUUAGCUAGUUGGUGAGGUAACGGCUCACCAAGGCAACGAUGGGUAGGGGAACUGAGAGGUUGAACCCCCACACUGGUACUGAGACACGGACCAGACUCCUACGGGAGGCAGCAGUGAGGAAUAUUGGUCAAUGGGCGAGAGCCUGAACCAGCCAAGUCGCGUGAAGGAUGACUGUCUUAUGGAUUGUAAACUUCUUUUGUAGGGGAAUAAAGAGGGGCACGUGUGCCUCAGUGAAUGUACCCUACGAAUAAGCAUCGGCUAACUCCGUGCCAGCAGCCGCGGUAAUACGGAGGAUGCGAGCGUUAUCCGGAUUUAUUGGGUUUAAAGGGUGCGUAGGCGGCCUGUUAAGUCAGCGGUGAAAUCUAGGAGCUUAACUCCUAAAUUGCCAUUGAUACUGGCGGGCUUGAGUGUAGAUGAGGUAGGCGGAAUGCGUGGUGUAGCGGUGGAAUGCAUAGAUAUCACGCAGAACUCCGAUUGCGAAGGCAGCUUACUAAGGUACAACUGACGCUGAAGCACGAAAGCGUGGGUAUCAAACAGGAUUAGAUACCCUGGUAGUCCACGCAGUAAACGAUGAUAACUGGGCGUAUGCGAUAUACAGUAUGCUCCUAAGCGAAAGCGUUAAGUUAUCCACCUGGGGAGUACGCCGGCAACGGUGAAACUCAAAGGAAUUGACGGGGGCCCG